GGCAAUGUCCUCCACCCUACUCCUGUGUCUCCUUUCCAGCAGGAAGAGUCAAGCGGCCAGGCAGAUAGAGACAGGGGAGCUGCAAGUUCUCGCGAGUAUCAGAAGUCACGGGCUGUUCUCAGCUGGUUGUGCAGGCUUGCGCACUCCGACACCAGCCUUAUCCAGCUACAGGGAUGGUACCACAAGAGGGUGUAUAAAACUGGUGGUAUUUAAAUAUCUGAAGAGGCAGAGCCAUUGUCAAUCGUUACUGGCACCUUGAAAAAGAUCCUAGUGAAGGGUGGAAACGCGUUGGUGGGUGUAUAGGCGUCCUGACUCCGCUCAACAGUGGUGAUUACCCGGACAGCUGCUUGCCUGUGGGGAAACCCUGGGAAUUCUUUCCCAUGAACUCUCAUGCUGUUAUGAACUGUUUCAUUGCAGUUCCAACACCUUUGGAGUUUCCUCUGCAAUGAGGAUAAACUGGUGGAAAUCAUCAAAGAGUUAAAACUACCAAGGAGCGCUAGUUAAGUAAUUUAUCCGUUAUUUCUAUUUGAUUUGCGUGUAUAUGGCUGUCUAUGUUAUUAUCUGAGCAUCCAUGCUUACGGUGGCAUCACCCACUGUUUUUCUGUCUGCAGCCAUCAUCAUGAUGGAAUUUACAACCAACCCCGCCAUACUGGGUGAAAAAGAUCUCUCUGAAACAUGUGUCUCAUCUCUGUCCAUGUGCCUCAAACCACCACAAAAGACUGGCUAGGCUCUCAUGACACUCUGUGUGUCUGCACAGUGACCACUCAGUUACCACCCAAAAAUGCAGAGUUCACAGACGGAGAGAAGCGGCCACGCACGGAUCAAACGAAACACUCUUGUAUGCUCUGUCAAGGUGAACAUGCAUGGUGCGGCAGAGGCUUGUUUUCAGUGCAUGCGUAGGCUGCUGAUAAUGGUGGGGUGUGUCUGCCUUUGGACUUCUGCCC